rnacentral:siRNA from 1 species
UAAGGAGGUGGAAGAUGAUUC